rnacentral:lncRNA from 1 species
ACAUUGUGGGGGCCCACUCCAUGUGAUGUUUGCUUGGUUGCCUGUUCCCUUUUCUACCUGCAGAGCACGGUUCCCAUAAGGGCGGCGAGAUCAGCCUCCUGUCUCAUCUGGAAGACCACCACUCUGGGGUCUCAGAGGAAUGAUGGAAGCCUUGGGGUUUCUAAAAUUGGAAGUGAAUGGCCCCAUGGUGACGGUGGCCCUGUCAGUGGCUCUCUUGGCCCUCCUGAAAUGGUACUCCACAUCAGCAUUCUCAAGACUGGAGAAGUUAGGCCUCAGACAUCCCAAGCCUUCUCCUUUCAUUGGAAACUUGACAUUUUUCCGCCAGGGUUUUUGGGAAAGCCAAAUGGAGCUCAGAAAGCUGUAUGGACCUCUGUGUGGAUGGGGUUGAAGAACAGCAUAGAGAUGGUUUACUUUAAUACUGGCAGAUGGCUAUGUGAGACUUCCUGGCCUACCAUCAUGGAUCAAGAACAACGGGAAUUGAAGGGCUCUGAAAGACUCACCUGUUGGACAUGUUUGUUCUUUGACUUAGAAGAUAUGAGACAUCUGAAUACACUGGGCUUGAACAUGUGGCUGAGGAUAGGGUAGGGUGGAAACUAUUGCUGAUUUGUCCAAGAAAAGACAAGUACUUAGACUUAAAUUGGGCAGCUGACACCUGGAGAUGGCACUUGUUUUUAAACUGGACUGAGCUCAGUAGAAUCAUAGAUGUUGAAGAAAGGUGGAAAUUAAGCCACCGUUGUGGAAGAGCUUCCCAGACACUGAUGCUAAGGAGUCAAACUUUAGGUUUUUGCUGCUGAUAAAAGUGCAAGCCUCAGUAUGAGGCUCAUUUACUAAAUGUUUGACCCAAAAAUGUGGCUCAAUUCUAAGAGGAAUUGAUGAAAAUGAAAAUAUACAUAGUAUAUUGAGAAAACACAAUACCCUUGAAACAGUGGAAUUAAGCACAGAAGUCCUGAAUUAUUCUAACAUCUCUGGCCAUGAGGCCAAACUGUGGGCAAUAUUUGGGUCCCCUAGCUUGGUGAAAGCUGGCUUUCAUGAAAGCGUUGAAAGCAAAGCUGUGCAUUGCCGUUCCCAAUAAUGUGAAUCUGAAAGCAAAAUUCAUGUGAGACCAUCAUGAUGGUCUGUAGGUCAUAAUUAUUGAGCAUCAUUCAGUGAGUGAAAUAUCAAUAUUCUCACUGGUCAAAAUAGCUUAAUCAUGAACACUAAGCCUGUAAGAGCACCUUUUUUAAAUGAUUGGAAUUCACUAAACUGCAUUAUUGCAUUUUAGGGGGGCCAUUAUUCUCUAAAAGUGAAUGCCCUGACAUAGUGUGCUGAUGUUUUAGGAGGCCUUUGAGAAUAGGAAGAAAGUUGUCCACAGGACAACUAUCACCAAGCCAAGCACACUGCCCAGUAGGUGGAAUUAUCAAAGGAACAAUUGUCCACAGAUAAAUAAGUGGCUUAGACCAAAGAGACAGAGGAAUUUGAUUUGAGUCCCACUUUUCUUGAAUGAACCAUUAAUAGACUCUUCACCCUUACCUGCCACCAGCAUGAUCUCGUUAUACCAAAUAGUGUAUUGCUACAAAGCUUCCAUGCUUUCUUAUGAUUUAAGACCACCUUCUUUCCCAGUCUUGAUCCAAAGACCCUUCUGAAGUUUACCUAAUUUUCUGGACUUCUAACUUCUUCUUUCAGCCCAUUUAUUUUAUACCAGUUCAUUUCCCCCCAUCCUCUUUCUAUAACAGCAUAUGGGUGAUGGUUGCUGCAUAUUUUAAUGACUACUGCUAUCUAAGUCUUUGUGACCCACCCUCAUAAAGAUCAAGAACCUGUAUUAAUUCCCUCUUCUUUGGGUAGAAGCAUCCAACAGGGCAUGAUAGCUUACAGUAGAAAUCUGCAGUUAAAAUCCCAGCUUCAACUUUCUUUCUCUCUACUGCUUGUUACCUUAAUGGAUUUAGGCCAAUCACUUCCCCUCUCCAGCUUUAGUUCUCUUAGAUGUAAAAUGUGGGAUUUGGACUAGGUCGGUGAUUUUGACACUGUUUAAUCAUGAACCUCAGUAAAUAAUAUAUUAACCACAUUGUUAUCUAAUACACACACAUACAUUUGAAAUAAAAGUUUUACAGAAGAACACCUUAUUCACAGUAUAAGAACCACUUUGAUCUAUUCUAUUGUAUUGUAUUCUAUCUGUAAAAAAUAAAACAUUUACAAGUUGGUCACAGCCCAUUAAAUUGAUUUCAUGACCACUAGUGAGUCAAAAUCAGCAAUUUG